rnacentral:rRNA from 1 species
CCCUUAGAUGUUCUGGGCCGCACGCGCGCUACACUGAUGCAUUCAAAGAGUCUAAAACCUGCUCUGAUAGGGGUGGGUAAUCUUUUGAAUGUGCAUCGUGAUUGGGAUAGAUGAUUGCAAUUUUUCAUCUUCAACGAGGAAUGCCUAGUAAACGCAAGUCAUCAGCUUGCAUUGAUUACGUCCCUGCCCUUUGUACACACCGCCCGUCGCUCCUACCGAUUGAAUGAUCCGAUGAAUAUCAUGGAUUGAGGAUGCAAGUAGGUUCGCCUAUCUUCAUCUUCGAGAAGUGAAGUAAAUCUUAUCAUUUAGAGGAAGGAGAAGUCGUAACA